rnacentral:rRNA from 1 species
UACGUAGGGGGCUAGCGUUGUCCGGAUUUAUUGGGCGUAAAGAGCGUGUAGGCGGCCAGGUAGGUCCGGUGUGAAAACUCGAGGCUUAACCUCGAGAUGUCAUCGGAAACCAUCUGGCUAGAGUCCGGAAGAGGAAAGUGGAAUUCCUGGUGUAGCGGUGAAAUGCGCAGAUAUCAGGAAGAACACCCGUGGCGAAGGCGGCUCUCUGGGACGGUACUGACGCUGAGGCGCGAAAGCUAGGGGAGCAAACGGG